UACGGAGGGGGCGAGCGUUAUUCGGAAUUAUUGGGCGUAAAGGGUGCGUAGGCGGCGUGGAAAGUUGGGUGUGAAAUCCCUCAGCUUAACUGAGGAACAGCGCCCAAAACUACCAUGCUCGAGGGAGAUAGAGGAAUGCGGAACUUAGGGUGGAGCGGUGAAAUGCGUAGAUAUCUGGAGGAACACCGGUGGCGAAGGCGGCAUCCUGGACCGGCAUUGACGCUGAGGCGCGAAAGCUAGGGGAGCAAACGGG
rnacentral:rRNA from 1 species